rnacentral:rRNA from 1 species
CAAAGAGAAGCAAAGCCGCGAGGUAGAGCAAAUCUCGAAAAAACAUCNCAGUUCAGACUGCAGGCUGCAACUCGCCUGCACGAAGUCGGAAUUGCUAGUAAUCGUAGGUCAGCAUACUACGGUGAAUACGUUCCCGGGCCUUGUACACACCGCCCGUCAAACCAUGAGAGUUGGCAACACCCGAAGUCGGUAGUCUAACCGCAAGGAGGACGCCGCCGAAGGUGGGGUCGAUGAUUAGGGUUAAGUCGUAACAAGGUACC